GACGUAGGGGGCCAGCGUUGCUCGGAAUUACUGGGUGUAAAGGGUUCGUAGGCGGUGUGGCAAGUCGGGAGUGAAAUCUCUGGGCUCAACCCAGAGUCUGCUUCCGAAACUGCUGUGCUUGAGUGUGGGAGAGGCGCGUGGAAUUGCAGGUGUAGCGGUGAAAUGCGUAGAUAUCUGCAGGAACACCCGUGGCGAAGGCGGCUCACUGGCCCGGUACUGACGCUGAGGUGCGAAAGCGUGGGGAGCAAACAGG
rnacentral:rRNA from 1 species